rnacentral:rRNA from 1 species
UACGAAGGGGGCGAGCGUUGUUCGGAAUUACUGGGCGUAAAGCGCGCGUAGGCGGCUUUGCAAGUCGGGUGUGAAAUCCCCAGGCUUAACCUGGGAACUGCAUUCGAGACUGCAUUGCUAGAGUAUGGGAGAGGGAAGUGGAAUUUCAGGUGUAGCGGUGAAAUGCGUAGAUAUCUGAAGGAACAUCAGUGGCGAAAGCGACUUCCUGGACCAAUACUGACGCUCAUGUGCGAAAGCGUGGGGAGCAAACAGG